CUCAAUGAAAUUAAAUAGCCGCAAUAUUUUGUGCUAAGGUAGCAUAAUCAUUUGUCUUAUAAUUAAAGACUAGAACGAACGAUUUAACAUUUUCAUUUCUUUCUAAUAUUUAUCUAUUUAAAUUAUUUUAAAUAUAAAAAAAUAUUUAUAUAUUAAGAAGACGACAAGACCCUAUUGAACUUUACUAAAGUUUUACUGGGGUAGUAUAUUAAAUAUUAUUUUAAUUUAUAAUCAUAUAUUAACCUAAUACAAUUAAAAAUAUCAAGUUACCAUAGGGAUAACAGCGCAAUAAUUUUCUAAAGUUCUUAUUUAAAAAAUUGAUUACGACCUCGAUGUUGAAUUAAUAUUCUACUAAACGCAACAAUUUAGUAAGAAAGUC
rnacentral:rRNA from 1 species